UACGGAGGAUCCGAGCGUUAUCCGGAUUUAUUGGGUUUAAAGGGUGCGUAGGCGGCCUAUUAAGUCAGGGGUGAAAGACGGUAGCUUAACUAUCGCAGUGCCUUUGAUACUGAUGGGCUUGAAUGUAGUUGAGGUAGGCGGAAUGUGACAAGUAGCGGUGAAAUGCAUAGAUAUGUCACAGAACACCAAUUGCGAAGGCAGCUUACUAAAGUAUGAUUGACGCUGGAGGCACGAAAGCGUGGGGAUCAAACAGG
rnacentral:rRNA from 1 species